rnacentral:rRNA from 1 species
UACGAAGGGGGGCUAGCGUUGCUCGGAAUCACUGGGCGUAAAGGGUGCGUAGGCGGGUCUUUAAGUCAGGGGUGAAAUCCUGGAGCUCAACUCCAGAACUGCCUUUGAUACUGAAGAUCUUGAGUUCGGGAGAGGUGAGUGGAAUUCCCAGUGUAGCGGUGAAAUGCGUAGAUAUUGGGAGGAACACCAGUGGCGAAGGCGGCUCACUGGACCGGAACUGACGCUGAGGCGCGAAAGCGUGGGGAGCAACAGG